AAAGAGAACAUCUUUAGCCAAUAUACUGCAUUCCCUGAACAGCAACUAAUGCCAACAGAGGGGAAGUGAACACACCCAUGUCCCAUCCAGGAGCAGCAGGCGGUCGUGCAGGCCCAAGGUGAUACAUCUGCACCGCUUCUCCUUUCCUUCCUAACUUACAGGCUGGAUGCAGUCACCCUUUCAGGCACCCACCCUGAGCACGCUGCUCACCCGCAGUCCGU
rnacentral:lncRNA from 1 species